UGGCGGCGUGCCUAACACAUGCAAGUCGAACGAUUCUUUGAUUAUAGCAAUAUUAUUAAAGAGGAGUGGCGAACGGGUGAGUAACACGUAGAUAAUCUGCCUUCAGACGGGGACAACUCAGGGAAACUUGUGCUAAUACCCGAUGAGACCACAAGAAGGGAUUUUUGUGGCCAAAGGCGGGCAGCAAUGCUCGUGCUGAAAGAUGAGUCUGCGUCCUAUCAGCUAGUUGGUGGGGUAAAUGCCUACCAAGGCUAAGACGGGUAGCCGGCCUGAGAGGGUGAACGGCCACACUGGGACUGAGACACGGCCCAGACUCCUACGGGAGGCAGCAGUGAGGAAUUUUCCGCAAUGGGCGCAAGCCUGACGGAGCGACGCCGCGUGAGGGAUGAACCAGCUUUCGGGUUGUAAACCUCUUUUAUUAAGGAAAAAGAUCUAUAUGCUAAUAUCAUGUAGAUUUGAUGGUACUUAUUGAAUAAGCCCCGGCUAACUACGUGCCAGCCGCAGC
rnacentral:rRNA from 1 species